UACGGGGGGGGCAAGCGUUGUCCGGAUUUAUUGGGCGUAAAGAGCGUGUAGGCGGCCAGACAAGUCUGCUGUGAAAACUCGAGGCUCAACCUCGAGCUGUCGGUGGAAACUGUCUGGCUAGAGUCCGGAAGAGGAGAGUGGAAUUCCUGGUGUAGCGGUGAAAUGCGCAGAUAUCAGGAAGAACACCUAUGGCGAAGGCAGCUCUCUGGGACGGUACUGACGCUGAGACGCGAAAGCGUGGGGAGCGAACAGG
rnacentral:rRNA from 1 species